rnacentral:rRNA from 1 species
GACAUAUCAUUCAAGUUUCUGACCUAUCAGCUUUAGACGGUAGGGUAUUGGCCUACCGUGGCUAUGACGGGUAACGGGGAAUUAGGGUUCGAUUCCGGAGAGGGAGCCUGAGAAACGGCUACCACAUCUAAGGAAGGCAGCAGGCGCGCAAAUUACCCAAUCCUAAUACAGGGAGGUAGUGACAAGAAAUAACAAUACAGAGCCUUACGGUUUUGUAAUUGGAAUGAGUUAAGUAUAAACCCCUUAACAAGUAUCAAUUGGAGGGCAAGUCUGGUGCCAGCAGCCGCGGUAAUUCCAGCUCCAAUAGCGUAUAUUAAAGUUGUUGCAGUUAAAAAGCUCGUAGUUAAUUUUCUGUUAAUUUUUAUAUACAAUGCUACGGUAUUUAUAUAAUAUUAACAUAAUUCAUAUUACUUUUUAGUAUAUGAAACUUUACUUUGAGAAAAUUAGAGUGCUUAAAGCAGGCUAUUGCCUUGAAUACUCCAGCAUGGAAUAAUAUUAAGGAUUUUUAUUCUUCUUAUUGGUUCUAGAAUAAAAAUAAUGAUUAAUAGGGACAGUUGGGGGCAUUUGUAUUUAACAGUCAGAGGUGAAAUU